GGUGUUUCUGGGUGUUAUCGAUUUAUCGUAAUGUUCGGUUUUGAGUCCUUAACAGGAUUUUUAACAGUCAUUGCAAGUUUACUUUGAACAAAUCAGAGUGCUUCAAACAGGCGUUUUCGCUUGAAUGAUCGUGCAUGGAAUAAUAGAAAACGAUUUCGGUUCAGUUUUAUUGGUUUUACGGACUGAGAUAAUGGUUAACAGAGACAAACGGGGGCAUUUGUAUGGCCCCGUGAGAGGUGAAAUUCUUGGACCGUGGCCGGACAAACUACAGCGAAAGCAUUUGCCAAGAAUGUCUUCAUUAAUCAAGAACGAAAGUCAGAGGUUCGAAGGCGAUCAGAUACCGCCCUAGUUCUGACCGUAAACGAUGCCAACUAGCGAUCCGCUGAUGGAAAUUAUAUUGCCUUGGUGGGGAGCUUCCCGGAAACGAAAGUCUUCCGGUUCCGGGGGGAAGUAUGGUUGCAAAGCUGAAACUUAAAGGAAUUGACGGAAGGGCACCACCAGGAGUGGAGCCUGCGGCUUAAUUUGACUCAACACGGGGAAACUCACCCGGCCCGGACACUGUGAGGAUUGACAGAUUGAUAGCUUUUUCAUGAUUCAGUGGAUGGUGGUGCAUGGCCGUUCUUAGUUCGUGGAGUGAUUUGUCUGGUUUAUUCCGAUAACGAGCGAGACUCUAACCUACUAAAUAGUUGGUACAUACUCUUUGUGUAUACAGCUUCUUAGAGGGAUUUGCGG
rnacentral:rRNA from 1 species